UUCUUCCUCCAAAUAAAAGCUGAUGCUAAAUAAAAGGAAUACUAAUGAAAUUGCCAUAGCAGCUACAUGAGGUCAGGAGUGCAUGCUUUUGCAUGUGGCUUAAGAGAAGGACAUGAACUCUGAACAUCUCCCUCUGAGGAACACAAAGGGUCCUCAUCUGCCCUCAGCCCCAGCGGAGCUCUCUGACCUCUGACUCCAUGUACUGGCAAACCCGUCAUGCCUUAGCCAUUCCUGGAACUACUCCCCCCACACCAUUCCAGAGGGAGAAAAAGGUUGCCUGAAAGGCAAUUGAUGAAAAUUGUGCUUGAAAAAAAAAAUCAAAGAAAAUGGCUUAAAACAAAUCCUAAAGACUCAGCCCCUUCAUCUGAGGGCUGAGACCUGAAAAUGCCAAAGUCAUGUAGCCGACCGCAGUGAACGCAACGAGGACAAUUAUGUUUUAGAUUCAAAAGGCAUUUUACAGAGCAGAGCUCUGCCACCAUUUUAAAUAUGCAUACUGGCAAAGUUGUAUGAAUUUCUGCAGUCAGGUAUAAUUGUGAUUAUGUGUCUUAAAGAAAAGUAUUUCUUUAUCUCAUCUUAGAAAAGACUGCCUUUCUUAAACCGCCAAAUAUUUAAGCCCUGCUUAUUCUAAUGUGAACAAUUGUUGAAUGAUGGCUUUAUGCCAUCACAUUAUGUAUCAUUUCAUCUACAUAUAUCAAAUAAUGCAUACCUAUGAUGUAGACACUAUUAUUCUCCUCGUGUAAUAGAUCAGGAAACUGAGGCACAGAGUGUUUAGGUAACUUAUCCAAGGUCAUAUACAUUUGACCCAAACCUGGCUUAUUCUAGGGCUCAAGUUUCAGAAUCCCAACUUUAUGAUCCCAGAUGCUCUGUCUGGAUUUGUUCGGCAGGAGAUAGAGGAAGGUGUCAGUGUAGAGUUGGAGAUGUGUCAGGGAAAGGACAAAAGUGGUAGAAGGACUUUUUGUGAUGCAACAUGUUGUGUACAUCAAUAGAUGAGAGUGUAAUUAUUUUCAGGAUAAACUAUCUUAGUAUUGUAGCUUAAAACUGCACAUUUUCUUUGUAAUAACCUUCUAAAAAAACUUGCACAUUUUACAUAGACUAACGUGAUAAAAUUAUAAGCUCAUGAAUGAUCACAAACAACUUGUAGAUUCCCACUGAGCAAGGCAUCAUCAUGUUCAAUAAAUUGAAGCUAUUACAUCGCUGCUGUUCUUGUCCUUAUUAUGGAGACAUAGCAUCUAGAUAUCUUUAGAGCAAAAGUGGUUUCACAGGCCUUUCCAUUUCUUACCAGAUCACAGAACAGCCUUAGGGCGAUUCCUAAAUGAACCUAUCACUUCAUUCAGUCACCAAACAUGACAGGGUGCAUCCAGCAGGCAGCGAAGGUGAUACCACAGUGACAAAAACAGUAUCCUUGUUCUACAGCGAGAGACAAGCUUUUUAUUUUUCCUUUAUAGGGCUACACCUGUGGCAUAUGAAAGUUCUAAGGUGAGGGGUCGAAUCUGAGCUACAGUUGCUGGCCUACACCACAGCCACAGCAACACCAGAUCUGAGCCACAUCUGCGACUUAUGCCACAAUUUGUGGCAAUACUGGAUCCUUAACCUCCUGAGUGAAGCCAGGGACUGAACUCACAUCCUCACGGAGAGGAUGUAGGGUCCUUAACCCACCGAGCCACAAUGGAAACUCCAGAGAAACAGGCUUUAAACAAAUAACAAAUGUGUGUUUGUGUGUUCAGAAAAAUAAAGCUCAUUAAGGAACAGAGAGUGGUAGUCUGCCAGUGUUAAUUUAGGUGGGGUAGUCAGACUUUCCUGAAGAAGUGACUUUUGAGUAAAGGCUAGAAUGAUGUGGUUAUAUUGGGGGGGGGGCAAGGAUCCAGGCAUGGGAACGACAGGUGUGAAAGUCCUGAGGUGGAUCCUUGACUCCUGAAUGGUACGAAGCCUUUGGGGUGGGAACACAGUGAAUAAGGGAGAGAAUGAGAUGAGGUUGCAGAGUAGGCAAGGCCAGGUCCUGUGUGCUUACCUGAGCCCUGGGAUGAAAAGCCUUGAUCUUAUUCUAGGUAAGAUGGGAAGCCACUAGACAGCCCUGAGCAGGAGAGUGUUAUUUAUUAUUUGACAUGUCUGCUCUUUUGAAAAUAGACUAUAACACUUAAUGGCACUAAUGUUAGGUGACAGCCACUCAGUGGUUGAGAGGUGACCACAGUACAGAAUAUCAACAGCAUUGGCAGCUGGUGUCUCCACCCUCACUCCCCACAGAAGCAGGCACAACAAUUCAAAUCUGCCCAAAGGGAAACAUUUUAAGGUGAAGUAUAUGAAUUGAGCAGGAGUAUGAAUUGAAAUAAUGAAUGGAACCUUAAAAGUUAGACACAGCUCUACUGAAGCCAUCAAGGUACAAAAGAGCAGCCUUCCAUCCCAGCAGAAGACAACCUAGGGCAUCUCUGAGAAUUGCAAACUCUCACCUCCCCUAUGGGAUCAACAAGGAGGUGCUGAGCAAGUUACUACAUCACAGGGAUGGUCUCACUGUAGGAUGAGCUGGUGAUUGUUUAUUAGCCUCAGGUUAGAGUCAGAAGAGAAGGGGGGGACAGGGAAAGGCAGGCAUAAAACAAUAAAGCCAAGGUGACAGGAAGCAAAGUGGGCCCACAGGAAAUUAACUAAGAGAAAAUGAACACUGCAGGCCUACUAGGUACCUGUACAGAUGUGAUUGUGUUUAACAGAAACAGCAAUGCUGUGAGGAAAAUUCAGCUCAAAUCAAUUCAAUAACCCACCCAAGGUCAUGUGAUUGAUGAGUGACAGAACAGACAUUUAAGUUCCAGCUUUUUUCUUUUUCUCCAAAGCUGUCCUAUUUUUUUUUUUUUUAAUGCUACAUCUAGUUGUACUGAUGGUGUUGGCACAGCGACAGUGAGAAGAUUGUCCUAAAUAAAUGUGAGAAUAAAUUUUGGGCUAUUCAUUAUCCAAGCUUUAUAAGCAAGCCAUCAUCUCUGCAGCGUGACUGAGCUGCACUAGAGAAAUUUUAGUGCACACUGAGGGAAAAGUCAGUCUACUUUAUGGUACCCUUACCAGCGAGCUUGAAGGGGUGAGGUAAGAAGGAGGAAUCCCCAAAACUGUCUUACUUGGAGCUGAAAAGAUAAAAAAGAAACAGAAUUCCAGCAAACACAAAAAGAUCUCUUAGGUUGAGCUCUCUAUUAAAUUUAUAAAACAUUAUUCGUUAGUUUUAACCAAGUUUUAUUAAAUCUCUAUCUAGCUUGGAAUUCUACAGAGAACUUAAAUUGCAAAAUGUUUAAAAAAUAUAAUUGGCAGUCGGAGUCCACCUCCAUGAAUAUCACCAUUAAAGGUAAUAAUAUCAAUGUAAUAUUACCUGUGACAUUCUUUUUUUUCUUUUUUGGCCACACCCUGCAGAAUGUGGAAGUUCCCAGGCCAGGAAUAGAACCUGCACCACAGCAGCGACCCAAGCUGCUGCGGUGACAAUAACAGAUCUUCAACCUGCUGCACCACAAGAGAACUCCAAUAUUUUUUUUAUACUUUCAUUCUGCAAAUGUUUACUGAGCACCAAUUAUGUGCCAGGCACUAGGAUAAUCUGGCAGUGAAAUUCCUAAAUCCUGCUAGUGUUCUUUUUGAAGAAACCCAGAUCUCGUGAUACAUCACUGGCUCUUCCUUUUUUUUGGACCACCCCUGUGGCAUAUGGAAGUUUCCAGGCUAGGGGUCUAAUUGGAGCUAGAGCUGCCGCCCUAUGCCACAGCCAGAGCAAUGAAGGAUCUGAGCUGUGUCUGGGACCUACACCACAGCUCAAGCAAUGCUGGAUCCCAAACCAUUGAGGAGGCCAGGGAUCAAACUUGCGUCCUCAUGGCUACUAGUCAGAUUGUUUCCACUGGGUCACCAUGGGAACUCCCACAUCACUGACUCUUAAUAACUCUGAUGGAAAGAGUCCCCAGUUAAACUGUAUAAAAUCUACUAAGAGAAAAUGAACACUGGAAUUUGGAAACUUACACCAUAUGAAAAAAUAAGACAUACAGAUUCUUGCCCUUCAUUUUUCAGUAGUCUUGCCUCUUGUUCUCAUCCUCUGAAGUCUGGUUAUUGUUAGGCAACAAGCAUUCCCAGCACACUAUGGCAGAUCAACUUUCAUUGGCAAAAUGUCCAUGGGAAUGACUGAUUUCUAUGUGUGGUGGGUUUGCAUGCACAUGAAUGUUGCUCGGGUUCCCCCAUGUGUUCUGAAACUCGGAUGAGCUAGUAUGGGGAGAUGAGAAUCUUCUCAUGGACUGACAGUGCCCAUCUGGCUUGUCACCUUCUGGCUCCACCAUCAUUUCCAGAAAUCCCAUUGGGAGGCCCUCCAAAGAAAUGUUCUCUGCAGCCAGUAUGUCAUUGAGCUUCAAGUCACGCUGCUGGAAUUCUAGAGGCCAGAAGAGAGCAUGGAUUUAUCUUGAAGCCAUCACUGUACUAUUAUUAGACUAGAGUGUGCUCCCUUCCCAGAGCUCUGCAUGUCAGAGACAUUAACUCUUCUGCCUGGAGAGAUUUAAAUUAGGCCAGGGUGAUCAAACCGCCAAAGAAGUUGGCACGGCAUAGGUCAGAAACCUCUCCUGGGCAGCCAGACACAGAGAACUGAGAACUUGACAGCCACGGCCACCACAGACCUGGUGGUGAGCUGGUGGAUAGUAGAAGGUGAAGUCACAGUGUUGAAUUUUAGAGGUGGAAGGGAGCCACAUCCAUUUUAUAGCUAGGGAAAUAGCCACCCAGAGAAAGGAGGUACUUUCUCCAAAGACAUUCAGCUGUUAAAUUGCAAAGUCAGACCUGAAUUCCAGAACCCUAGAAUCCUAGCCCCAGCUGUGCCCUUAGUGCCAUCAUAGGAAAAUUCCACUGGUAGUAUAUUUCUUCCUCUUUUUUUAAUGGAAUAACAAUUUAAUUUUUUAAUUAUAGUUGAUUUAUAAUUUUCUGUCAAUUUGUAUUUUCUAGAGCUCAUUCUUAACAACUAUCAGAGAAGCCCUCACUAACAUGUUAACUAGUAACACAUCCAGGCAUUUCCAUAGAUU
rnacentral:lncRNA from 1 species